GACAGCAUGGCAUAUUGGUUUGAGUACUGGACUGUGACUCUGGAGACCAGGGUUCAAAUCCCCAUGCGGACA
rnacentral:tRNA from 1 species